GACGAACCGUGCGAACGUUGUUCGGAAUCACUGGGCUUAAAGGGCGCGUAGGCGGGCCAUAAAGUCAGGGGUGAAAUCCUCCAGCUUAACUGGAGAACUGCCUUUGAUACUGAUGGUCUCGAGUAAGGUAGGGGCAUGCGGAACUGAUGGUGGAGCGGUGAAAUGUGUUGAUAUCAUCAGGAACUCCGGUGGCGAAGGCGGCAUGCUGGACCUUCACUGACGCUGAGGUGCGAAAGCGUGGGGAGCAAACAGG
rnacentral:rRNA from 1 species